UUUCCCCUGCCCUGUUGGUGAUUUACAGAAUUUCUUGAGCCAUUUAUUUAUAAAAGGGCUCCUCCCCUGACAAUGGAAAGAAAAUUCGCUACGCUGAAAUUUCUUGAUGUUGUUAAGAGUACUGCCCACCUGACCAUUGGUUAGGUUCAGAAGGACUGUGGACACGGCAGGUCGGGGGUUUU
rnacentral:other from 1 species